rnacentral:tRNA from 3 species
UCCUCUGUAGUUCAGUCGGUAGAACGGCGGACUGUUAAUCCGUAUGUCACUGGUUCGAGUCCAGUCAGAGGAU